rnacentral:rRNA from 1 species
GAGUUUGAUCGUGGCUCAGAUUGAACGCUGGCGGCAGGCCUAACACAUGCCAAGUCGAGCGGUAGAGGGAAGCUUGCUUCUCUUGAGAGCGGGCGGACGGGUGAGUAACUGCCUGGGAAUCUGCCUGGUAGUGGGGGAUAACGCUCGGAAACGGACGCUAAUACCGCAUACGUCCUACGGGAGAAAGCAGGGGACCUUCGGGCCUUGCGCUAUCACGAUGAGCCUAGGUCGGAUUAGCUAGUUGGUGAGGUAA